GAGUUGAAGCUCAGGCCCUUCCUGGCACCCUGGUCUGCUGCACUGAGCUGCGUGAGCUCUUCCACCCAGGUGCAGCCCCCAGGCACUGAUCAGCAUAGAUGUUGAGGCUGGAGGAAGACUUGAAUUGGGCCCAAUGGCCCCAGGCCAGUGUCCGUCAGCUAGGUGUCCAGCCCCUGGUGCACUGAACAUUGAACACUUCCUGGCACCCUGGUGUCCUGCACUGAGCUGUGGUGAGCACAUCCGGGUCCUGCUGGAUGCAUGCACUGGGAGGUGGUGUGCUGAGUUGGGUCGAUGAUGAGAACCUUAUAUUGUCCUGAAGAGAGGUGAUGACUUAAAAAUCAUGCUCAAUAGGAUUACGCUGAGGCCCAGUCUAGUGAGCUCUUCCACCCAGGCAGGCACCCUGGCAUUGACCAGCAUAGUGAGCUCUUCUGCCCAGCAGACCCCCUGGCAUUGACCAGCAUCGAUGGUGACCCUGGAGGAAGAAUUGCAUUGGACCUGCUGGCCCUGACACAGUGUCCCUCAGCCGGGUGCUCAGC